rfam:Punica granatum cultivar Dabenzi scaffold1842, whole genome shotgun sequence.
GUCUCUUCGAAGGCGUCCGAUAAAAUUGUAACGAUACAGAGAAGAUUAGCAUGGCCCCUGCUCAAGGAUGACAAGCACAAAUCGAGAGGGGCUAUGAAUCUUU